UAGAUAGAAGCAGGCACGCAUUGUCACCUGCUGCCCUGCCCCGGUAUACUGUCAGACCUCAGGUUGGAGAACAGCCUGGAACCCGGGCAAUCAGGAGUCUCCUGCAGCCCCAGCAGUGCCUCCAUGCACUGGCACGCUGCCUGCUCCUCCCCUCACAGCCACAGCUGCUGGAGUGUUGCCUACAUCUCAGAGCCUUUUCUGAAGAUUUUGGCAUCCCCACACCCUGUCACCAUGUUCCUGUGUCUUUCCCCAUGAAGGUUUCAGGCACACAGAAAGAGUUUUCCAGCCUUAUUUGAAGGGAGGCCAAAUGUCUGCUGCAGUCCCUCUGUGUCCUGAUUUACAGCACCAGCCUUGAUGGAACAUGGCAGGGCCUUAACACCCAACUCUUUGGGAACCUUGAACGUGUGGCUGAAUGAAGCCAGCAGAAGCUGACCUCCAGUGUGGACCUCUCAGAGAAGUUUGCAUUUACAAGCCCCUUUCCUUGAGGAUUUCACAGCAUUUAAAUAAAUGGCUGUGUGCUUAUUUGGCCUCAUCGUUAGAUGAUUUGCAUGGCUAUAUCGUGGUAUAUUAAACAAGGAGUAUAUCCUACCCUCAAGUUCUUGUUCUUAAGUGAUUCUGUGUCUUCCUAAUAACUUUUGAACACCACAU
rnacentral:lncRNA from 1 species